rnacentral:rRNA from 1 species
CGACAGGGUGCAGUAAUGCUUAACGUGCAAUCUCGCCUAUUCAGUCGCGGGGACAAACGUUUCGACAAGGACACGCUCAAUACCGCAUACGAUCCUACGGGAGACAAGCAGGGGAUCCUUCUAGACCUCUGAUGCUAAUAGAUGAGCCUAAAUCGAGAUUAGACUAGUUAGGUGGGGUAAAGAGCCUACCAAGGCUGACAGAUCUGUAGCUGGGUCUGAGAAGGAUGAUCCGCCACACUGGGACUGAGACUACAGGCCCAGACUCCUACGGGAGGCAGCAGUGGGGAAUAUUGGACAAUGGGCAGCAAGCCUGAUCCAGCACAUGCCGCGUGAUGUGCCAGAACGGCCUUAUGGUUGUAAAGCACUUUACAGCGAGGAGGAGGAGCUUACAGGUUAAUACCCUGGGAUGCUUGGACGUUACCUCGCAGAAUAAGCACCGGCUAACUCUGUGCCAGCAGCCGCGGUAAUACAGAGGGUGCAAGGCCGUUAAUCGGAUUUACUGGGCGUAAAGCGUGCGUAGGCGGCUAAUUAUCGGUCACAUGUAGAAAUCCCCGAGCUUAACUUGGGAAUUGCAUUCGACU